rnacentral:piRNA from 1 species
UGCACACUGUCAAAUUGCCAAUCUGCAUGCA